rnacentral:rRNA from 1 species
CAGCAGCCACGGGAAUACGAAGGGGGCUAGCGUUGUUCGGAAUUACUGGGCGUAAAGCGCACGUAGGCGGAUAUUUAAGUCAGGGGUGAAAUCCCAGAGCUCAACUCUGGAACUGCCUUUGAUACUGGGUAUCUUGAGUAUGGAAGAGGUGAGUGGAAUUCCGAGUGUAGAGGUGAAAUUCGUAGAUAUUCGGAGGAACACCAGUGGCGAAGGCGGCUCACUGGUCCAUUACUGACGCUGAGGUGCGAAAGCGUGGGGAGCAAACAGGAUUAGAUACCCCCGUAGUCCCUGUCUCUUAUAC